ACGGCCUUACUUGAAUAGGAUCUGUCCUAUAGGGUCGUAACUCAGUAUCCUCGAGUUCUAAGGAGACAGGAACCCAAGUCUGGUGACUGUGAAUUAUGACCUUGCAAUCAAAGCAUGAUCAACAGCCAGAAUUCCAUGACUAUGGAUACCCUAGGCAGUGGAGGAUCAUUCUCAGUCAGGCUUACUGGGCCUGACUGAGAUGGUCGCACAGUUGUCUGAAUGAUC